GAGAUAAUACNUGAUAGAGGAUAAAUACUGGAAGGUUUUAUUCUUCAAAGCUUCGGCACCUGAGGAUGGGACUGCGUCGGAUUAGCUUGUUGUCGGGAUAAUUACCCGACAAGGCGAUAAUCCGUACGGGUUGUGAGAGCAAUAGCCCGGAGAUGGAUUCUGAGACAUGAAUCCAGGUCCUACGGGACGCAGCAGGCGCGAAACCUUCACAAUGCCUGAAAGGGUGAUGAGGGAACUCUGAGUGACUUCGCAAUGCGAAGUCUUUUGCCAAGUGCAAAAAGCUCGGUGAAUAAGUGGUGGGCAAGACAGUUGCCAGCCGCCGCGGUAAUAACUGCGCCACGAGUGGUGAUCUCGUUUAUUGGGCUUAAAGCGUUCGUAGCCGGUUUUAUAAGCAUCUGGUGAAAUCCGAUAGUAAACUAUUGGGCUGGCUAGGUGUACUGUAAGACUAGGGACCGGUAGGGGCCGGGAGUACUCCUAGGGUAGGGGUUAAAUCCUUUAAUCCUAGGGGGACUACCAGUGGCGAAGGCGCCCGGCUAGAACGGGUCCGACGGUGAGGGACGAAAGCUGGGGGAGCGAUCCGGAUUAGAUACCCGGGUAGUCCCAGCUGUAAACGAUGCCCGCUUGGUGUGGUGAAACUUUCGUG
rnacentral:rRNA from 1 species